CAUGCAUGUAGGAUAGGUUAGAGAGUAGCUAGUCCAGUCAAGCUUCAGCGAAGAUGUGUGGAGAAGGCGAGAUGCCAGGGUGCCGUGUGAUACGGCGAGUACAGUGAGAUGCUGCAAAGCUGCGCGAGGCAGCACGGUCGUGUGAUGCGGCAAGUACAUGAGAGGCUGGAGCCUGACCGGCUAGACGAGGUGGUUAGAGCUGAGAGAUUCACAGAGUUUGUUAGUUGCUUGGCCGAGUCGUGGCUGUUGGAGCGAUUCCAGGACUGGAUAGGGCUGGUAGUGCGUGUAUUAGUGCCUGCAUGGCUUAGUGGGAUUAGUUGCUGAGAGAGUUGGUGGCUAGUGCGUGCGUGGGUCCUCUGUACUGGCGUGAGUUUAGAUCGCAUGGUUGCCGAGUCUUGUAUAAAUACAUUGCAUUGAGUAAUAGAAGUUGAGGCCGUGAGGGCUAUAGGGAAAAUGUAGUCUUUAUGUGCACCAAGGAAGAGUGUUCUGGGCAAAGCCUCGUUGGGUUUCUUCCUUGGAUGUGUGCGUGUGUGUUUUCUGAGUUUCACCAUGUGUGUGUGUGCCUUGUGUGAGACAAAGAGAGUUGAGCUGUGAGAGGCAGCUCAAGGUAGUAGAAGAAGCGGCGCUGCAAGGAGAUUCAGCGCCAACAAUUGGCAUCAGAGCCCUGUCGAUCCGUGGCGGUGACUACGGUACCGGCGGCUAUGGUGGCCGGCGUGGCGGUGGCGGAGGCAACGGCUGCGACGGCGGCGACGCGGUGGACUCCAUGUGAGGUGGAGGACGCCGACGCGAGGUGAUGGCUGGCGGCGGCGCGAUGCCGCUGGUGGCCGGUUGCGGUGCAAUGCUGCGAGGUGAUGAUGGCGUGGUGAUCGGUGUUGCGAAGGCGCCGUCCACGACAAGAGGUGGCCACUGCGUGUGGCAGGACGAUGUGGUGAUGGGCGCCGCGACAGCGUCGUCCUCGGCAAGGAGAAGUCGCUACAUUCGGCAAGUGGUUGUGGGUGAUCCGCGUCGGAGAUUGGAGAAUCAAGAUUAAGGGGGGAAAUGUUAGCUUUAAUCUUGAUGUAUGUAUCUGCAUAUUUAGUUUGCUUUCAUCAUGCAUGUAGGAUAGGUUAGAGAGUAGCUAGUCCGGUCAAGCUUCAGCGAAGAUGUGCGGAGAAGGCGAGAUGCCAGGGCGCCGUGUGAUACGGCGAGUACGGCGAGAUGCUGCAAAGCUGCGCGAGGUGGCACGGCCGUGUGAUGCGGCAAGUACAUGAGAGGCUGGAGCCUGACCGGCUAGACGAGGUGGUUAGAGCUGAGAGAUUCACAGAGUUUGUUAGUUGCUUGGCCGAGUCAUGGCUGUUGGAGCAAUUCCAGGACUGGAUAAGGCCGGUAGUGCGUGUGUUAGUGCCUGCAUGGCUUAGUGGGAUUAGUUGCCGAGAGGGUUGGUGGCUAGUGCGUGCGUGGGUCCUCUUUACUGGCGUGAGUUUAGAUCGCAUGGUUGCCGAGUCUUGUAUAAAUACAUUGCAUUGAGUAAUAGAAGUUGAGGCCGUGAGGGCUAGAGGAAAAAUGUAGUCUUUGUGUGCACCAAGGAAGAGUGUUCUGGGCAAAGCCUCGUUGGGUUUCUUCCUUGGCUGUGUGCGUGUGUGUUUUCUGAGUUUCACCAUGUGUGUGUGUGUGUUCUUGUGUGAGACAAAGAGAGUUGAGCUGUGAGAGGCAGCUCAAG
rnacentral:lncRNA from 1 species